GUCUGGGUGUAAAUAUGCUCAGUCUGACCUGCCCGCUGACAAUACGUUGUUGAAGAGCCGCGGUAUCUGUAACCGUGCGAAGGUAGCAUAAUAAGUUGUCUUUUAAUUGAAGGCUGGAAUGAAUGGUCGAACGAGAAGCCAGCUGUCUCUUUAGUGAUAAUUGAAUUUUACUUUUAAGUGAAAAGGCUUAAAUGCCACGAGGGGACGAUAAGACCCUAUAAAGCUUCACGAUUACUUUUGUUGUUCCCGAAUUUGAGUGUAAAGGGGGCAAGUAUGGGUGUCGUUGCGUUGGGGCGACGAGAAUAUAAAUUAACAACUGUUCUUGGAAUGAAACGGCUGUGGCCGGUUGAGUUGACCCUUUAUUAAGGAUCACAAGAUCAAGUUACUUUAGGGAUAACAGCGUUAUUUCCUUUGAGAGUUCAUAUCGACAAGGUAAGUUGCGACCUCGAUGUUGAAUUAAGGUUUCAUCCGGGUGUAGAAGCUUGGACGGUGGGUCU
rnacentral:rRNA from 1 species